rnacentral:tRNA from 5 species
CGGGGUGUGGCGCAGUUUGGUAGCGCACCUGCUUUGGGAGCAGGGGGCCGCAGGUUCAAAUCCUGUCACCCCGA